AGAGUUUGAUCCUGGCUCAGGACGAACGCUGGCGGCGUGCUUCACACAUGCUAGUCGAACGAUGAACACCGGAGCUUGCUCUGGUGGGAUUAGUGGCUAACGGGUGAGUAACACUUGAGCCAUCUGCCCCCGACUCUGGGAUAACUCCUAGAAAUCGGUGCUCAAUACCUGAUACCACACCUCCUGGCAUCACGUGGGUGUGGAAAGAAUUUCCGCUUGGGGAUGAACUCGCCGCCUAUCAGCUCGUUGGUCAGGUAAUGGCUCGACAACGCUACGACCGGUAGCCUGACUGAGACGGUGACCGGCCACUCUGGGACGGACAUUCUCUGCAGACUCCUACAGUAUGCCUUCUUCGGUGAAUAUUGACGAUGAGCCCCAGCAUGAUUCAGUCACCCCGCGUGGGGGAUGAAUGCCGUUUGCUUGUAAUAUCCUCUUUAUUCACGAAAGAAGCCUACGUGACGAUACCUGGCCAGAGUCUAACUGCUAACGACGUCCGACCCGCUCCCGUGAUACCUACGGUGCAUGCCCUGGCCGAAAUUAUUGCUCGUCAAGAGCUCGAUAGGCCGCGUGUCUCGUCUGCUGUGAA
rnacentral:rRNA from 1 species